rnacentral:rRNA from 1 species
UAAUACAGAGGUCCCAAGCGUUGUUCGGAUUUACUGGGCGUAAAGAGUGCGUAGGCGGCUAGAAAAGUUUGGUGUGAAAUCUUCGGGCUUAACCCGGAAACUGCACUGAAAACUAUCUGGCUAGAGGAUCGGAGAGGAGAUUGGAAUUCUCGGUGUAGCAGUGAAAUGCGUAGAUAUCGAGAGGAACACCAGUUGCGAAGGCGGAUCUCUGGACGGUUUCUGACGCUGAGGCACGAAAGCUGGGGUAGCGAAGAGGAUUAGAUACCCUCGUAGUCCCAGCCGUAAACGGUGCACACUUGCUGUGGGCGGAUUCGACCCCGUCCGUGGCGAAGCUAACGCGAUAAGUGUGCCGCCUGGGGAGUACGGUCGCAAGAUUAAAACUCAAAGAAAUUGACGGGGGCCUGCACAAGCGGUGGAGUAUGUGGCUUAAUUCGAUGCAACGCGAAGAACCUUACCUGGCCUUGACAUGUAGUGGCCCGGGUGCGAAAUCACCCUUUUCUUCGGAACUGCUACACAGGUGCUGCAUGGCUGUCGUCAGCUCGUGUCGUGAGAUGUUGGGUUAAGUCCCGCAACGAGCGCAACCCUCGUGUUCUGUUGCCACCCGGAGUUAAAUCCGGAGCACUCUGGACAGACUGCCUGGUUUCAACUAGGAGGAAGGUGAGGAUGACGUCAAGUCAGUAUGGCCCUUACGGCCA